ACGCAAGUAGCAAUACUUGAGUGGCGGACGGGUGAGUAACGCGUGAGAAUCUACCUUUUGGUCUGGGAUAACAGCUGGAAACGGCUGCUAAUACCGGAUGUGCCGCAACGUGAAAGAUUUAUCGCCAAGAGAAGAGCUCGCGUCUGAUUAGCUAGUUGGUGAGGUAAAGGCUCACCAAGGCUGCGAUCAGUAGCUGGUCUGAGAGGAUGACCAGCCACACUGGGACUGAGACACGGCCCAGACUCCUACGGGAGGCAGCAGUGGGGAAUUUUCCGCAAUGGGCGAAAGCCUGACGGAGCAAGACCGCGUGAGGGAGGAAGGCCUUUGGGUUGUAAACCUCUUUUCUCAGGGAAGAAGAAAGUGACGGUACCUGAGGAAUCAGCCUCGGCUAACUCCGUGCCAGCAGCCGCGGUAAUACGGAGGAGGCAAGCGUUAUCCGGAAUUAUUGGGCGUAAAGCGUCCGUAGGUGGCUUUCUCAAGUCUGCGGUUAAAGACUGGGGCUUAACUCCAGAAAGGCCGUGGAAACUGAAAGGCUAGAGAGCCGUAGGGGUAGAGGGAAUUCCCGGUGUAGCGGUGAAAUGCGUAGAGCUCGGGAAGAACAUCGGUGGCGAAAGCGCUCUACUGGACGGUAUCUGACACUGAGGGACGA
rnacentral:rRNA from 1 species